CGGCGACUUAUAGGUAGUGGCAGGUUAAGGCAGAGAAUGCCGGAGCCAUAGUGAAAGCGAGCCUGAAUAGGGCGUUUGUCAUUGGUUAUAGACCCGAACCCGGAUGAUCUAACCAUGGUCAGGUUGAAGCUUAGGUAAUACUAAGUGGAGGACCGAACCGACUGAUGUUGAAAAAUCAGCGGAUGAAUUGUGGUUAGGGGUGAAAUUCCAAUCGAAUUCGGAGCUAGCUGGUUCUCCCCGAAAUGCGUUUUGGCGCAGCGAUAAAUGUUAUAACUUAGGGGUAAAGCACUGUUACGUAUGCGGGCUGGUAAUUCGGUACCAAAUCGUUGCAAACUAAGAAUACUAAGUGGAAAAUUUAUCAGUGAGACUGUGGGGGAUAAGCUCCAUUGUCAAGAGGGAAACAGCCCAGAGCACCAGUUAAGGCCCCUAAAUAAUUGCUAAGUGAUAAAGGAGGUGGGAGUGCAUAAACAAUCAGGAGGUUUGCUUAGAAGCAGCAAUCCUUUAAAGAGUGCGUAAUAGCUCACUGAUCGAGUAAACCUGCGCCGAAAAUGUACGGGACUAAGUAAUUUGCCGAAACUGUGCGAUAUAUUUCGAAAAUAUAUCGGUAGGGGAGCGUUCUGUUGUAGAUUGAAGUAUUAGCGUAAGCGGAUAUGGACGAAGCAGAAGUGAGAAUGUCGGCUUGAGUAACGAAAAUAUAGGUGAGAAUCCUAUACCCCGAAAACCCAAGGUUUCCUCCGGAAGGCUCGUCCGCGGAGGGUAAGUCAGGACCUAAGGCGAGGCUGAAAAGCGUAGUCGAUGGACAACGGGUUAAUAUUCCCGUACCAUUAUUUGUUGAUAUCGAGGGACGGAGAAGGCUAAACUGGCCGGAUGUUGGUUACCGGUUUAAGCGCUCAAGGUGAUGAGAAACGGAGAAAACGUUUUGAGCUAAGGCGUGAAUACGAGAUGCUACGGCAUCGAAGCAGUCUAUGUCAUACUUCCAAGAAAAGCUCGCACUGUCAAAAACAAAAUAAUGCCUGUACCAUAACCGACACAGGUGGGUAGGUAGAGUAUACUAAGGGGCGCGAGAUAACUCUCUCUAAGGAACUCGGCAAAAUGACUCCGUAACUUCGGGAGAAGGAGUGCCUUAUUUUAAGGUUGCAAUAACCAGAUCCAAGCAACUGUUUAUCAAAAACACAGGUCUCCGCAAAGUCGUAAGACGAUGUAUGGGGGCUGACGCCUGCCCAGUGCCAGAAGGUUAAAGAAGUUGGUUAGUUUCGGCGAAGCUGAUAACUGAAGCCCUGGUGAACGGCGGCCGUAACUAUAACGGUCCUAAGGUAGCGAAAUUCCUUGUCGGGUAAGUUCCGACCUGCACGAAUGGCGUAACGAUGGCGGCGCUGUCUCCACCCGAGACUCAGUGAAAUUGAAAUCGCUGUGAAGAUGCAGUGUAUCCGCGGCUAGACGGAAAGAC
rnacentral:rRNA from 13 species